rnacentral:rRNA from 1 species
GACGAAGGGGGCUAGCGUUGUUCGGAAUUACUGGGCGUAAAGCGAGUGUAGGCGGUUGCCCAAGUUGGUGUGAAAGCCUUGAGCUCAACUCAAGAAAUGCACUCGGUACUGGGUGACUAGAGGACCGGAGAGGAUAGUGGAAUUCCCGGUGUAGUGGUGAAAUGCGUAGAUAUCGGGAGGAACACCAGUGGCGAAGGCGACUACCUGGCCUGUUCUUGACGCUGAGGCGCGAAAGCUAGGGGAGCAAACGGG